AGGACCCAGGUUCAAAUCUGUCCUCGCCUGUGGGGAGUUUGCAUGUUCGGGGCAUCAUUUUGGUAGAUGUUGAUGGCCUUCCCGGGUGAAAAAUGUGCCAAUAUUUCUGACGUGAGAAGUGUUCUGAAUUUUGUAAAGAAGAAAAUGUAUUUGUUUUGAACAUUCCCACCAGCCUGCCUUUGCACCACCUCACCCUACACCCUGCCUCCGUCACAGCUGAUAUUAAGAGUCACCCAGCCUGACCCGCACCGGCGACAAUGCUGCUACUUCCCGACAAGCUUAAAAAGUGAACCAACCCCCCAGGUGUUGAAUCCGGCAUGGCAACAGUGCAAACAAAAAUCCCCUCCCUUCCCCUCACACCCGCCCCCAAACAAAGAAGAGCUUAGGACGACUACGUGGACCUCGGGCGGAGCUCAGUCAAAACAGGACCUUUCAGGCGUUCACCUCCAGUGGGUUCCGUGUGACCAGAAGGGACAUCAAGUGACUUUUUACUCAGGUCAUGCAAAUCAAAGAACUCGUUGGGGGACUCGGACGGCUCUGGUGUUGUAAAUCAUCCUCGCUGUCUUCAACUUCGCCUGGCUGGACACUCCAAAGCCAUCAAACGUCAACUUAAGCAGAAGUGUUUCUGUGGCCUGGAAACGUCGGCAUUUCCACUUUGUGUUAAGUGAGCUUCCAAGGUCUCAUAGAUGUGUGUGUUUUUUUCAGGCAAACUCUCCCCACAAUGUUAGAGGCAUUAAGCCGUCCAUUAGAUGUCACUUUUGUUAACCGAGUGGGAAAACAUUUGGACAGCUUCCUUCCAUUUUGAGGCCCAAAAUUCACAUAUACACUUAGAAAAAGUUCGGCAAACUGGGUUUAAACACCUUCAAAUAGACGGUUUGAUGUGCUGCUGCAUGUCUUUUAGCGGCAACGUGAAAGGAAGCGAGUGCAACAUUUGUACAGUACAUACAGAUGAGAGCGCGGAGCAUGCAGGUGAGCAGUGAGGAACCGUAAAAACAUUUCCAUAUCCCACCGGAGGGUUAUUAACCACUGGAAAGAGAGCAGAUGAUAUUCCUCCCCACGCAGCAGAGCCACGCGUCAGUUGCGCUCAGACUUGCGUCAUGUGGAGGAGGAGACGGAGGUGGACGAGGUUAUGGCCGGCCUGAAUCAUCUAGUUCCAUUCAUGAGUGCCACACAGCGCAUCUGGCUGGUUUUUGGUAUUUCAACGAAAAACAGAACAAGUCCACAAGUGUCAAUUCACAUGAAUUGGUGUUCUCACUGGUUAUGAUUUAUUUUUAUUUUUUAUUUUUAAAUCUCCUGCUAAUGUGUCCACUCUUUGUUAUUGACAGAGGAGGUCUUGUUAUUGAGAGCGGCGCCCGGUGACAUCUGCACCAGCAGACAGAUCUCGCCAGAUAAAAUGGAUUUCAUGGCAACCGGGUCACCAUAGCAACCGGGACAGAUGCCAAGCUGAGUUGAUCCUUGCAAUUUGCCCCUCCUCGCACUCACAGAAAAAAAAGUGAAUGUUUCAUCCAGUUUCCACCCGAUUUAUUUAUUAGCAAUGUUUAAAAUUUGUAGUCGUAGGUAAUAUAAGUUUAUUAAGUUUUACGCCUAUGCAGAAUUGCCAUGACUGAAUUUUAGCUAUGUUUGUAAACUUAUAUUAAGGUGUUAUGCAAUGUUUUUACAUUAUAUAAAUCAGGCUUUUUUUGCCCCAUGCAUCUCAUUAUUAUUGUAUGCAUUAUGUGCACACUGCUCUUUCACAUCAAUUAUUAAUGAAUCCCUUAAUUUCAUUUCUUACUUUGUUGCACCAAGAGUGUUCACGGGUCAAUCUGACCCGAGGCAUCUUUAACCACCCAAAAAAACCCAUGACAAAAAAUAAUUGUUUUCAAAUAUUGGAAAAUCCCAGAAAUAAAAUCAGUAAGUUGUGUAAUAUUUGCAAAAAAAUAUAUAAAAAUGUUUGGCCCCUUGUGUGUACCAUUAAAAUUAAUAUACUAUUCAAAUUCAGAAAUAAAUUACAAUAAAAUUGUUCAGGAAAGAAGGCCAUGCUAUUUUUUUUCUGUAUUUAUUUAUUUUUAUUAUAUACGCUACCACUCAAACGUUAGGUCAUAAUAUCUGUCAAUAGCAUGAGAAAGUAU